GAAGGCCCCACUGUCUUAAGGAAAUUCCCAGUGAAAUUGAAUUCGUAGUGAAGAUGCUACGUCCAAUUUGUUAGACGAAAAGACCCCGUUGAGCUUUACUGGGGCACUUACACGGCCCCGGCCUUCAAGACUGGGUUGAUAAGCCAAGGCUUACCAUACCUAGGGACCGGCCGAAUUUAAAUGGGCGGCUUAGACUAUGUGGCAGCUCCCCCCGUCGGGGCAGAUGAAACCCCACUCCCCCAUGUCAAAGGGGCUAACCCCCCCCCCUUGGGGGGGGGACAAUGUAAGUAGGACAGUUUGGUUGGGGCGACCGCCUUUUAGAGAGUAACGAAGGUGCGCUUAAGGUGCGUAAUUAAUGACUGAAGCCUGACUGCGAGGGGGAUACCCCGAGCAGACACCCCCAAGCCCGCCCGAGAAGGCUUUGCCUUCUGGGCGGCGGUGGGGUGGGCCAUAGUGACCCGUUAAUUUAGAGUGGAAUAGUUAACGAUCAACGAAUAAAAGUUACCACGGGGA
rnacentral:rRNA from 1 species